AAUAAUAGAAGGUUGUCAUUACUUGCUUAAAUUUUAUUAUUAUAGUUUGUUUAUUAAAGCUUUUAGGUAUUACUUUUAUUUUCGACCGUCCUUUUUACACUAUUAUAAUUUUUUUCGUAUUGGUUUAGAUAUACAUAUAUAGGAUAGAAAACAUACCAUGACUUUAAACUAUUUAAAAAUUAGUAACUUAAAAAUACUAUUCUUUCAUAUCUUGAAAAACGCCACGGCUCAGCUAUGCUAAAGCCACUUAUUAGGAUAAAUAACUUAUUUUGAUAAAAACUGAAAGUAGUCGAAAUGUCAAAUUUUAUCUGUCUUUUUACGUUUUAUGAGGUAUUAUUUUGUCGCACGAAUUUUUUGUAUAGCACGACUAGUGAACGAAAGCCAUUAUACUAUAGGAACAUUGUGGUAACUAUAAUUGGAUGGUAGCACUGAUAAACAAAUAUAAAAUAAUUUAAAUUUUUUUUUUAAAAAUACGAGAAAAUAAGAGAAUUAAGAGACCUAACUAAUUUGCUUUUUUUGUGUGACAUUUUAUAGUGACAGGAUUAAUAUACAAAAUGCCCUUAAUACAAAUUGGUAAUUUAGAAAUAUGAAAGAUUAUAAUUCAAUGAGGUUGUCAGUAUUUUGAACUUGUUGAUAUUUUAAUUAUAAUGUAUCUACUAUAGCUUAUCCCAUUGUAUUAAUUCUAUUUAAUUUAAGUGAAUAACUUGUUUCUUAAGUUUAAUAGGUAGGUCAAUUGUUUACAGUUUUGUUUUUAAUUACUUGACAAAAUAAACUCAAAUUACAAGUAAAUCGGAUUAGACAGUCUAAAUCUUGACGUUACAGAAACGGGUGGAGCUUAUACCGACUCCAAACAAUUUUGUUGAGAAUGGUAAAUGCCCAUAAGCAAUUUUUCAUUUAGUGUUUUCGUGGUUUAUGUGAUAAAAUAAGACUUUUCAGUUGAAGGAAUGUACUAUUUAAGAGGUUUUCAUUAGUUUUUCACCAGACUGUAAACAUUACAGUUCAAACCAUCCAUGUAAGUUUUUUCGGUUCCCAAAAAACAAAACCGAGAGGAAUAGAUGGAAGGAUGGAUAAGGUAAAAGAAUGAUAACAUUCACUCAAAAGAUAGAGAUCCAAGUGAAUUUGCAAAAGUGUGCGAUUGUCACUUUUUAAAUAAAGAAAAAAAGAAUGGGACAACUUUAUUUGAUUUCAAUAUUCAGAAGAAGUUUAAUAUAAAAUCACCAGAAAAAAAAAGUGAACUGUAGAAAACCUUGUGACCGACCUACUACUAGGACCUUCAACUGAACCACUACCAGGUACUUCAAGUGAGCCACUACCAGGAUCUUCAACUGAGCCACUGCCAGGAUAAUUUUGAGUUUUAAAUAUUUUUUAUUGUAGCAAUAUAUUUUCUUAUUCGACUUUUUUUGUAAAAAGUUUAGAAAUUUAUGUAUAUUUAGAUUUUACUUAAUUUAUAAAUAACUUGAUGUAAUACAAUUAUUGUUAAAGUAAUAA